GAUGAACGCUAGCGACAGGCCUAACACAUGCAAGUCGAGGGGCAGCAUUUCUAGCUUGCUAGAAGAUGGCGACCGGCGCACGGGUGAGUAACGCGUAUGCAACCUACCUUACAUUGGGGGAUAGCCCAGAGAAAUCUGGAUUAAUACCGCAUAAUAUAUUUGAAUCGCAUGGUUUAAAUAUUAAAACUCCGGUGAUGUAAGAUGGGCAUGCGUAGCAUUAGUUAGUUGGUGAGGUAACGGCUCACCAAGACGAUGAUGCUUAGGGGGUCUGAGAGGAUAGUCCCCCACACUGGUACUGAGACACGGACCAGACUCCUACGGGAGGCAGCAGUGAGGAAUAUUGGUCAAUGGACGCAAGUCUGAACCAGCCAUGUCGCGUGCAGGAUGACGGCCCUAUGGGUUGUAAACUGCUUUUUUACAGGAAUAAUUGCUUCUACGUGUAGAAGUUUGAAUGUACUGUAUGAAUAAGGAUCGGCUAACUCCGUGCCAGCAGCCGCGGUAAUACGGAGGAUUCGAGCGUUAUCCGGAUUUAUUGGGUUUAAAGGGUUCGUAGGCGGUCUUUUAAGUCAGUGGUGAAAUCCCAGAGCUCAACUCUGGAACUGCCAUUGAAACUGAAAGACUUGAAUAUGGUUGAGGUAGGCGGAAUACGUUAUGUAGCGGUGAAAUGCAUAGAUAUAACGUAGAACACCAAUUGCGAAGGCAGCUUACUAAACCAUUAUUGACGCUGAUGGACGAAAGCGUGGGGAGCGAACAGGAUUAGAUACCCUGGUAGUCCACGCCGUAAAGCGAUGAUUACUCGUUGUGCACAAUACACCGUGCGUGACUGAGCGAAAGCAUUAAGUAAUCCACCUGGGGAGUACGUGCGCAAGAAUGAAACUCAAAGGAAUUGACGGGGGCCCGCACAAGCGGAGGAACAUGUGGUUUAAUUCGAUGAUACGCGAGGAACCUUACCUGGACUUAAAUGUAGAUUGACCGGUUUAGAAAUAGAUCUUUCCUUCGGGACAAUUUACAAGGUGCUGCAUGGUUGUCGUCAGCUCGUGCCGUGAGGUGUCGGGUUAAGUCCCGCAACGAGCGCAACCCUCGUGUUUAGUUACUAACAGUUCGGCUGAGGACUCUAAACAGACUGCCUGGGUAACCAGGAGGAAGGUGAGGACGACGUCAAGUCAUCAUGGCCCUUACGGCCAGGGCUACACACGUGCUACAAUGGGGUAUACAAAGAGCCGCGAUACCGUGAGGUGGAGCAAAUCUCAUAAAAUAUCUCCCAGUUCGGAUUGAAGUCUGCAACUCGACUUCAUGAAGUUGGAAUCGCUAGUAAUCGUGAAUCAGCAACGUCACGGUGAAUACGUUCCCGGGUCUUGUACUCACCGCCCGUCACACCAUGGGAAUUGAAUUCAUUCGAAGCGGGGAUGCUAAAGUAGCUACCUUCCACAGUGGAUUUAGUGACUAGGGUGAAGUCGUAACAAGGUAACC
rnacentral:rRNA from 1 species